UAGACCGGAACAACUGAAGGAAGGCAUAUCUCUAGUUAGUGUGAUUGACUCAGAACUGGGCACAUGAUCCAACCUGGGCUGCUGAGAAGCCUGGAGUUCUUAUCAAACCAAAGAGCCCUGUUUACUGUAGAUUCUCUGAGGGGGAGAAUUUCUGUUGAGAGCUACUCAGGAAUAUCUCUGAUACCUGAGAUGUUGGAAAUCUUUCCAUAAAAGGAGAGAAAAAUCCCAACGGCGAGGACAGUGGAAUUCAGAGAUGAGGAAAGCAAAUGCUAUGGGACAUCCUCUCAGCGGCUGGGCCAGUGGAGAUACAGCACGGAGCACUCGGCACAGGUGCCAUACAUCAAAACUUCAGUAAGUUAAAACUGGAGGAGUCCCAGAAGGCCUGCUACUUCCAAGGUAAAGUGACUGUCCCUGGACCAUCUGCUGUGGUAUAAUUGGACUGGCAUGAUGUUGGAGUUUGAAGCAGAUGGAUGGAGGCUCACGCUGCGACAUUCAUUCUGGAAGUGUGUGGAAGACCAGCAGAGAUCAGAAGUCUAACACACACAGUCCACCCAGCCAACAGACCACAGGGAGACUGAUGCACACACCACCGCACCGCAAGCCCAGGAAGCCAAGACAAAGCAGAAGCAACAACCCACCUUUGUCACUCAGGAAAAAAAGGUCACAGAGUCACAAAGGGUAAAUGGCCGGUGGAAAGCAAGCACAUAAGCCAGGCCUCAUCACAACUGGCUUCACAUUGAGCCAGAAAAUUGCAAGACGCUGCAUCUCCUUUAACCUCUGCUGCCUCAUGGAGCUUGUGGGAACCUGGGUCCUAAGGGUUAUGCUGAAACCCCUCCCCAAGGUAGCUGCUUGCCCCCCAUGUGCAGAGCCCGUGGGGCCUGCGAGGACCAUUUCCCUUCCCAGGUGUCCUCUCUGUUGGAAGUUGCUUGGGCUGCAGAUGAGAACUGAAACCGAAAUACCCCCUAAAGAGAGAAGUGGAUGAAAAAAAAAUUCUUCGUUCGUUUACAACUCUUGACAAAUCUGCAAGAUUGGACACAAGAGCAUUACUAAAUGAUUAAAAGCCCAGGUUCUCCCCUGUGGGAGUAAGUGUGGGAGAGUAUUAGAUUACUGCUGAAUAAUGUAAUCACUGCAGCUCUCUGACAGCUCAAACAUACAGCCAGGACGCCCCUUUUCACUCUGUUUACCAACUGCAUUCGAAAAGCCAUCUUCCUUCUGGCGAAUUUCCCCAUUUUCCUCUACUUGAGUUUAUUGUGACUCAAUAAAAUA